rnacentral:lncRNA from 1 species
CAGGUGCAGCGCAGCCUCUGGUUCUGGGUUGGAGAUGGUGCAGUGUCUGGCCAAAGCCGUUUUCAACCCCAGCGUGUUCCGUCUGCGUCUUGCUGAGUGCCGGAAUCCAAAGUCUUGGGAAACCAGCAGAGGCGCACUCCUGAGACCACCUG